CUCCAGACUCCUACGGGAGGCAGCAGUGGGGAAUAUUGCACAAUGGGGGGAACCCUGAUGCAGCGACGCCGCGUGAGUGAAGAAGUAUUUCGGCAUGUAAAGCUCUAUCAGCAGGGAAGAAAAUGACGGUACCUGACUAAGAAGCCCCGGCUAACUACGUGCCAGCAGCCGCGGUAAUACGUAGGGGGCAAGCGUUAUCCGGAUUUACUGGGUGUAAAGGGAGCGCAGACGGCUGUGCAAGUCUGGAGUGAAAGGCGGGGGCCCAACCCCCGGACUGCAUUGGAAACUGUUAGGCUGGAGUGUCGGAGAGGUAAGCGGAAUUCCUAGUGUAGCGGUGAAAUGCGUAGAUAUUAGGAGGAACACCAGUGGCGAAGGCGGCUUACUGGACUGUAACUGACGUUGAGGCUCGAAAGCGUGGGGAGCGAACAGGAUUAGAUACCCGAGUACC
rnacentral:rRNA from 1 species